AAUCGCAUUAUUUUAUGCGAUUUCGGCGCUUUUAUGGUCCGACAACGUAAACCAGAGGUCAAACAGCCAAGACGAGACUCUCUCUGACUGGUCUCGGCGUGCUGGAGGCCGUGCUCACCUUUCGGAGCACUGCCGGCCACUGUGGCACGCGCACGGGCGAUGCAAAAUUAGUGAAACAGCGCGCACAGUAGGAAAAGCAUGCUUAUCUCGCUAACCAGGGGCUCGUUGACCCUAAGUGAGGUGAGCA
rnacentral:lncRNA from 1 species